UAUUAUGAUAUAUUAAUAUUAAAUUCAAAUUUCAAUAUCCAUGAUAUUGGUUAGAUAAUCCAGAAUUCUAGAUCUAGAUUUGUCUUGUAGAUGGUAGAUCUAGAAUUUUCACGAACGAAUCUUUUUAAUUUGUCAAAUUAGUAAAUGCAAAAUAAACACAAAGUAGAUCUAAAUAAAAUAAAUAAGUUGAGACUUGAGAGAAUGGCCAUGAGAGGAUAAUAGGAACUUUCAUCAAAAAAAAG